rnacentral:rRNA from 1 species
GACGAACGCUGGCGGCGUGCUUAACACAUGCAAGUCGAACGGAAAGGCCCUGCUUUUGUGGGGUGCUCGAGUGGCGAACGGGUGAGUAACACGUGAGUAACCUGCCCUUGACUUUGGGAUAACUUCAGGAAACUGGGGCUAAUACCGGAUAGGAGCUCCUGCUGCAUGGUGGUGGUUGGAAAGUUUCGGCGGUUGGGGAUGGACUCGCGGCUUAUCAGCUUGUUGGUGGGGUAGUGGCUUACCAAGGCUUUGACGGGUAGCCGGCCUGAGAGGGUGACCGGCCACAUUGGGACUGAGAUACGGCCCAGACUCCUACGGGAGGCAGCAGGGGGGAAUAUUGCACAAUGGGCGGAAGCCUGAUGCAGCAACGCCGCGUGCGGGAUGACGGCCUUCGGGUUGUAAACCGCUGUCGCCUGUGACGAAGCGUGAGUGACGGUAAUGGGUAAAGAAGCACCGGCUAACUACGUG